UACGAAGGGGGCUAGCGUUGCUCGGAAUGACUGGGCGUAAAGGGCGCGUAGGCGGUUCGUACAGUCAGGCGUGAAAUUCCCGGGCUUAACCUGGGGGCUGCGUUUGAUACGUGCGGGCUUGAGUUCGGAAGAGGGUCGUGGAAUUCCCAGUGUAGAGGUGAAAUUCGUAGAUAUCAGGAAGAACACCCGUGGCUAAGGCGGCUCUCUAGUACGGUACUGACGCUGAGACGCGAAAGCGUGGGGAGCGAACAGG
rnacentral:rRNA from 1 species